rnacentral:rRNA from 1 species
UAUCCGCCAGAAAACUACGAGCGAAAAGCUUAAAACUCAAAGGACUUGGCGGUGCUCCAUACCGGAUUAGAGGAGCCUGUCCUAUAAUCGAUACUCCACGCUAAACCUCACCAAUCUUUGCCAAAUCAGCCUAUAUACCGCCGUCGCCAAUCUACCUCAUGAGAGAAAAAUAGUAGAUACAACAGUUCUACAACUAAUACGUCAGGUCAAGGUGUAGCUAAUAGAAUGGAAGAGAUGGGCUACAUUUUUUAAGAUAAAACACACGGCACGGUACUAUGAAAUUUUUACCCAAAGGAGGAUUUAAUAGUAAAAUUAACAAGAAAGUU